CAGAGUUGCAAAACUCCCUAAACCAUCGCGAACGUACCCCGUACAGUUGCUUCGGCGCGGCGGCUCCCCGGAGCCCUCGGCCCUCACGGGCGCCCGCCGGAGUGACCAUACCCCAAACUAUUUAUAUUCUAGGCCUCUCUGAGUAAUACUAUAAUAAGUAA
rnacentral:misc_RNA from 1 species